GCCUAACACAUGCAAGUCGAGCGCGCCUUUCGGGGUGAGCGGCGGACGGGUUAGUAACGCGUGGGAAUAUGCCCUUUGGUACGGAAUAGCCUCUGGAAACGGAGAGUAAUACCGUAUGUGCCCUUCGGGGGAAAGAUUUAUCGCCAAAGGAUUAGCCCGCGUUAGAUUAGGUAGUUGGUGGGGUAAUGGCCUACCAAGCCUACGAUCUAUAGCUGGUUUUAGAGGAUGAUCAGCAACACUGGGACUGAGACACGGCCCAGACUCCUACGGGAGGCAGCAGUGGGGAAUCUUGGACAAUGGGGGCAACCCUGAUCCAGCCAUGCCGCGUGAGUGAUGAAGGCCUUAGGGUCGUAAAGCUCUUUCGCCUGUGAAGAUAAUGACGGUAGCAGGUAAAGAAACCCCGGCUAACUCCGUGCCAGCAGCCGCGGUAAUACGGAGGGGGUUAGCGUUGUUCGGAAUUACUGGGCGUAAAGCGCACGUAGGCGGAUCGGAAAGUUGGGGGUGAAAUCCCGGGGCUCAACCCCGGAACUGCCUCCAAAACUAUCGGUCUAGAGUUCGAGAGAGGUGAGUGGAAUUCCGAGUGUAGAGGUGAAAUUCGUA
rnacentral:rRNA from 1 species